rnacentral:rRNA from 1 species
UACGAAGGGGGCUAGCGUUGCUCGGAAUCACUGGGCGUAAAGGGUGCGUAGGCGGGUCUUUAAGUCAGGGGUGAAAUCCUGGAGCUCAACUCCAGAACUGCCUUUGAUACUGAAGAUCUUGAGUCCGGGAGAGGUGAGUGGAACUGCGAGUGUAGAGGUGAAAUUCGUAGAUAUUCGCAAGAACACCAGUGGCGAAGGCGGCUCACUGGCCCGGUACUGACGCUGAGGUA